GUGCUCGCUUCAGCAGCACACAUACUAAAAUUAGAAUGAUACAGAGAAGAUUAGCAUGGCCCCUGCACAUGGAUAACAUGCAAAUUCAUAAAGCAUUCCAUAUUUUU
ensembl:snRNA U6 U6 spliceosomal RNA